ACCAGUCACCGCACCGAUUAAUCUCGAGUCUCAUCGGAGGCGCGAGGUAAAGCCUCGCUGUAAUAAAACUGAUCCUUCCUCACUCGCCGUCGUCGUGUUCGCGGCUUCAUCGCGUCCUCCCGCCCUCGUCCCGUCCCUCGGUCGCUCGAAAACAUCAAAGGUACGGCAUGGGAUUCGGUCAACUCGUCACCGGCCCGCCGGGCGCGGGAAAGACGACGUACUGCGUCGGCAUGAAGCACUUUUACGAGCUUCGUGGACGACGCGUGGCGAUCGUCAACUUAGAUCCAGCGAACGACGUGGCGCCGUACGAAGCCGCGGUAUCGCUCGAAGACCUCAUAUCCGUCGAUGAAGUGCAAGAGGAGCUCGGACUCGGGCCGAACGGGGCGAUGAUUUACUGCAUGGAGUAUUUGGAAAAGAACGCCGACUGGUUGCGGGACGCGUUGACGCCGCUUCGGGACACGCACUACUUCAUCUUCGAUUGCCCGGGGCAAUUGGAGUUGUUCAACGUGCACGGAUCUUUCCGUAAUGUGCUGCAUCGAAUGAUGAAUGAGUGGGAUUAUCGACUGUGCACGGUGCAUUUGAGUGAUUCACACCUGUGUUGCGACCCGGGCUCGUACGUCAGCGCGUUGCUCGUGACGCUCCAGUCGAUGUUGCAUUUAGAGACACCGCACGUGAGCGUGUUGAGCAAAAUCGACAUGCUGGAACAAUACGGCGAGUUGGCGUUCAGCUUAGACUACUAUGCGGAGGUGAUGGAUUUAGAUUAUAUAGUGGAACACAUCGGAAACGAUCCGAAACUCGCCAAGUAUAAAAAGCUCACGAGCGGGUUGUGCGAAGUCAUCGAGGACUUCGGGCUCGUGCGCUUCGUACCGAUGUCGAUCGAAGACGAAGAAACGGUGAGCAGAGUAGCGACGUUAGUGGAUAAGUCCAUCGGGUAUUCACUCGGCGUGCACAAAGGCGCACGUCUCGGCACGGAGGAGCUUCGCGAACGCGCCGCGCGCGGUGACGAGGACGAGGACGAAGAGGCGUUCGACAUGCGCAACGCCGUCGCGAAGGCGCCAGCGAUCGAAUCGUACUCGCAAAACCUCGAAAUUCAGGAGCGAUACUUCCCCAAGAGCGACCGUAACGACGAUGGCGGAUCGAAAACCCCGACCGCGGAGUAGACGCAGUAGACUUAGUGUAGAGCAAUCGACGCCGCGCGCGCGACGUCGGAAAUGAUACAAAAUUAAAACAAAAUGCGCGCGCGCAUCGCCUACGUCUGCGAAACAAAGGAGCAACGCGCGGUCAGCGCCACGUUCACCGCGCGCGAUGGACAAAAAAAAUCCAAGCGAAUGUCCCGGGAAUUGCUCACGGCUUCGACGUCGACCGAUACGACGGAAGCCCCGAUUGUCCCCGGCAAUUUUAUAUCGCGUGUUAUUAUUUUAUGAUGGUUCAUCGCACAGGUGGGUAUCAACCACCCUCGAUCGACGAACCCGUCCCACACGCUUUUCCCUUCUCGCGAAAAAGUCGCGCUCGCGUUCGCGUUCGCGUUCGCGUUCGCGUUCGCCUCGCCUCGAGUCGGGUCAGAGCAAAGAUGACAUCGUGUGCGUUCGUGUCUUCACGCGUCCAUCGCCGAUCGACGGGCGUCGGAGAGAAGAUUAGCGUACGCGUGUGACUCAUCAUCCCCGUCGCGCGGUCGCCGUCGCGUCGCGCCGUCCCGUCGCACCUCUCCACCGUUCCGACGCAAAACCUCACCGCCGCGCGUCGUCGUCGUUCGCGCGCGCGUCGCGUCGCGUCGCGUCGCCGCGUCGCCGCGCCGUCCCUUCGCGCCGCGCCGCGCCGUCCUUCGCGCCGUCCUUCGCGCCGCGCCGCCGCGUCGAC
rnacentral:lncRNA from 1 species